rnacentral:rRNA from 1 species
CAGUAGCCGCGGUAAUACGUAGGGUGCAAGCGUUAAUCGGAAUUACUGGGCGUAAAGCGUGCGCAGGCGGUUAUAUAAGACAGAUGUGAAAUCCCCGGGCUCAACCUGGGAACUGCAUUUGUGACUGUAUAGCUAGAGUACGGCAGAGGGGGAUGGAAUUCCGCGUGUAGCAGUGAAAUGCGUAGAUAUGCGGAGGAACACCGAUGGCGAAGGCAAUCCCCUGGGCCUGUACUGACGCUCAUGCAAGAAAGCGUGGGGAGCAAACAGGAUUAGAGACCCCAGUAGUCCCUGUCUCUUAUAC